AAGGGGUUGAGGCCUAUGCAGAACAGCACUGGGGAUAGUGCAUCACCUUGGUAUUUACCACAUUUGAUGUUCACUUGAGUUAUUGUCCUGGAAUUGGCUUCUAGAGUUGUUUUCCACUUGCCCAUUGAGUUCUUGAUGAAGGCUCUUAUUGUCUUGAUGACCUUGUAGAGAACCAAGCAUUCCAGUAUACAUGUGUGUAGCAUUGUGUCAUAGGCUUUCUUGUAGUCAAUCAAGGCCGUACACAUAUUGGUCUGUUUGGUCUUUGAAUCCCUUGUGACUGCUUGGACUACCAGUAGUUGGUGUUUUAAUCCUCUGGUGUUGUUUCCAAUCCCCUUCUGAGUAUUGCUCAUAUAUUGAUUCAUAUGCCCUUGGAUCUUGGAGAAGUUUCCAUGUUGUGGGGAGGCAGGUUAUUGGUGGGUAGUUGGAUGGUGCUGUUCCCUUAUGAGGGUCCUUCAUGACCAG